AGCGAACGCUGGCGGCAGGCCUAACACAUGCAAGUCGAACGGACCCUUCGGGGUUAGUGGCGGACGGGUGAGUAACACGUGGGAACGUGCCUUUAGGUUCGGAAUAGCUCCUGGAAACGGGUGGUAAUGCCGAAUGUGCCCUUCGGGGGAAAGAUUUAUCGCCUUAGGAGCGGCCCGCGCCGGAUUAGCUAGUUGGUGGGGUAACGGCUUACCAAGGCUUCGAUCCGUAGCUGGUCUGAGAGGACGAUCAGCCACACUGGGACUGAGACACGGCCCAGACUCCUACGGGAGGCAGCAGUGGGGAAUCUUGCGCAAUGGGGGCAACCUUGACGCAGCCAUGCCGCGUGAAUGAUGAAGGCCUUAGGGUUGUAAAGUUCUUUUGCCCGUGACGAUGAUGACGGUAACGGGAGAAUAAGCUCCGGCUAACUUCGUGCCAGCAGCCGCCGUAA
rnacentral:rRNA from 1 species